rnacentral:lncRNA from 1 species
GCCCGACAACGACCGUCUUCUAUUAACCCAGCCUCAAUGAAGUCACGUAUCAUCUUUGGAGUGACACGUCUUGGCCCAAAAAAAGUGGUUGGAGGAAAUUUAAGAGUCUUCGGAGCUUUAGGGGGAGCCAUCAGAUCGAAUAUACUAGAAACAGUCACCAAACAGAAUGUCUAAGAAUAAACUCAAAUAAAAACGAACAACGGCAGCAAAGUAAAAUGAGAAGCGAGGAAAAAU